GUGGGGAAUAUUGGGCAAUGGAGGGAACUCUGACCCAGCAACGCCGCGUGAGUGAAGAAGGUUUUCGGAUUGUAAAACUCUUUAAGCGGGGACGAAGAAAGUGACUGUACCCGCAGAAUAAGCAUCGGCUAACUACGUGCCAGCAGCCGCGGUAAUACGUAGGAUGCAAGCGUUAUCCGGAAUGACUGGGCGUAAAGGGUGCGUAGGUGGUUUGUCAAGUUGGCAGCGUAAUUCCGUGGCUUAACCGCGGAACUACUGCCAAAACUGAUAGGCUUGAGUGCGGCAGGGGUAUGUGGAAUUCCUAGUGUAGCGGUGGAAUGCGUAGAUAUUAGGAGGAACACCGGUGGCGAAAGCGACAUACUGGGCCGUAACUGACACUGAAGCACGAAAGCGUGGGGAGCAAACAGG
rnacentral:rRNA from 1 species